UACGAAGGGGGCUAGCGUCGUUCGGAAUCACUGGGCGUAAAGCGUAUGCAGGCGGAUCGUUAAGUCGGGGGUGAAAUCCCGAGGCUCAACCUCGGAACUGCCUUCGAUACUGGCGAUCUUUGAGUCCGGGAGAGGUGAGUGGAAUUGCGAGUGUAGAGGUGAAAUUCGUAGAUAUUCGCAAGAACACCAGUGGCGAAGGCGGCUCACUGGUCCGCAACUGACGCUGAGGUGCGAAAGCGUGGGGAGCAAACAGG
rnacentral:rRNA from 1 species